ACGGUCCUACGGGAGGCAGCAGUCGGGAAUAUUGCGCAAUGGAGGAAACUCUGACGCAGUGACGCCGCGUAUAGGAAGAAGGUUUUCGGAUUGUAAACUAUUGUCGUUAGGGAAGAAAAAAGACAGUACCUAAGGAGGAAGCUCCGGCUAGCUACGUGCCAGCAGCCGCGGUAAUACGUAGGGAGCAAGCGUUAUCCGGAAUUAUUGGGUGUAAAGGGUGCGUAGACGGGAGUCUAAGUUAGCUGUGAAAUCCCUCGGCUCAACUGAGGAACUGCAACUAAAUCUGGACAUCUUGAGUGCAGGAC
rnacentral:rRNA from 1 species